AACGAACGCUGGCGGCAGGCCUGACACAUGCAAGCCGAGCGCACCUUCGGGUGAGCGGCGGACGGGUUAGUAACGCGUGGGAACGUGCCCUUCUCUAAGGAAUAGCCACUGGAAACGGUGAGUAAUACCUUAUACGCCCUUCGGGGGAAAGGAUUUAUCGGAGAAGGAUCGGCCCGCGUUAGAUUAGGUAGUUGGUGGGGUAAUGGCCUACCAAGCCUACGAUCUAUAGCUGGUUUGAGAGGAUGAUCAGCAACACUGGGACUGAGACACGGCCCAGACUCCUACGGGAGGCAGCAGUGGGGAAUCUUAGACAAUGGGGGAAACCCUGAUCUAGCCAUGCCGCGUGAGUGAUGAAGGCCUUAGGGUCGUAAAGCUCUUUCGCCAGGGAUGAUAAUGACAGUACCUGGUAAAGAAACCCCGGCUAACUCCGUGCCAGCAGCCGCGGUAA
rnacentral:rRNA from 1 species